GAUGAACGCUGGCGGCGUGCCUAAUACAUGCAAGUCGAACGAACGGACGAGGAGCUUGCUUCGCUGAUGUUAGCGGCGGACGGGAGAGUAACAUGUGGAUAACCUACCUAUAAGACUGGUAUAAUUUCGGGAAACGGUCUCUUAUAGGGGAUGAUAUCUUGCACCGCGUGGGUCAAAAGUGAAAGACGGUCUUGCUGUCACUUAUAGAUGGAUCCGCGCUGCGUUAGCUAGUUGGUAAGGUAACGGCUUACCAAGGCUAGGAUGCAUAGCCGACCUGAGAGGGUGAGCGGCCACCCUGGAACUGAGACACGGUCCAGACUCCUACGGGAGGCAGCAGUAGGGAAUCUUCCGCAAUGGGGGAAAGCCUGACGGAGCAACGCCGCGUGAGUGAUGAAGGUCUUCGGAUCGGAAAACUCUGUUAUUAGGGAAGAACAUAUGUGUAAGUAACUGUGCACAUCUUGACGGUACCUAAUCAGAAAGCCACGGCUAACUACGUG
rnacentral:rRNA from 1 species